rnacentral:tmRNA from 1 species
CGGCUUCACAUCCGCGCCGGAAUGCCUAUAUCGGUCAGUGCCGGCUUGCCGGCUAUGGCGAUAAACUGCGGCGUUCAAUAGGCGCAGCGGACCCGGGGGCAGUACCCGGCGGCUCCACCAGAAACCGCGGCUUCGCGGGUCCUGACGGGGCCGAACCAGGAUCGACGUGUGUUGAAAAGCGCUGUUUUCGCCCGGAAUGGGACCACCGCAACGGCCCAUAACACAAGUGCCAACGACAACGAGGCGCUCGCUCUUGCUGCGUAACUAAGUCCCCCUGGGGAUAAGGUUACAAAGCUAUAGCGCGGUCCGGGCCGCACCGGGCAACAGAAGCGGAAUCCA